rnacentral:rRNA from 1 species
GAUGAACGCUGGCGGCGUGCUUAACACAUGCAAGUCGAACGAAGCACUUAAGAUUGAUUCUUCGGAUGACGUCUUUUGUGACUUAGUGGCGGACGGGUGAGUAACGCGUGGGUAACCUGCCUCACACAGGGGGAUAACAGUUAGAAAUGACUGCUAAUACCGCAUAACCCGAUAGGAUCGCAUGAUCCAGACGGAAAAGAUUUAUCGGUGUGAGAUGGACCCGCGUCUGAGUAGCUAGUUGGUGAGGUAACGGCCCACCAAGGCGACGAUCAGUAGCCGGCCUGAGAGGGUGAACGGCCACAUUGGGACUGAGACACGGCCCAAACUCCUACGGGAGGCAGCAGUGGGGAAUAUUGCACAAUGGGGGAAACCCUGAUGCAGCGACGCCGCGUGAGUGAAGAAGUAUUUCGGUAUGUAAAGCUCUAUCAGCAGGGAAGAAAAUGACGGUACCUGACUAAGAAGCCCCGGCUAACUACGUG